ACCGUACUCCUACGGGAGGCAGCAGUGGGGAAUUUUGGACAAUGGGGGCAACCCUGAUCCAGCAAUGCCGCGUGCGUGAAGAAGGCCUUCGGGUUGUAAAGCUCUUUUGUCAGGGUAGAAACGGUAGUAGCUAAUAUCUAUUACUCAUGACGGUACCUGAAGAAUAAGCACCGGCUAACUACGUGCCAGCAGCCGCGGUAAUACGUAGGGUGCAAGCGUUACUCGGAAUUACUGGGCGUAGAGCGUGCGCAGGCUGUUGUGUAAGGCAGAUGUGAAAUCCCUGGGCUCAACCUGGGAAUUGCAUUUGAGACUGCACGGCUAGAGUGUGUCAGAGGGAGGUAGAAUUCCACGUGUAGCAGUGAAAUGCGUAGAUAUGUGGAGGAAUACCGAUGGCGAAGGCAGCCCCCUGGGAUAGCACUGACGCUCAUGCACGAAAGCGUGGGGAGCAAACAGGAUUAGAUACCCGAGUAGUCCUUGAC
rnacentral:rRNA from 1 species